AGUGUCAAGGGAUGGGAAUCGAACCCACGACCUUCCGCUUACCGGGCAGAUGCCAUGACCAUAGGCCACAUGACC
rnacentral:tRNA from 1 species